rnacentral:misc_RNA from 1 species
CCGAGUUUACAACUCCCAAACCCCUGUGAACAUACCACUUGCCUGCCUCGGCGGAUCAGCCCGCUCUCGGUAAAACGGGACGGCCCGCCAGAGGACCCCUAAACUCUGUUUCUAUAUGUAACUUCUGAGUAAAACCAUAAAUAAAUCA